UACGUAGGGGGGCAAGCGUUGUCCGGAUUUAUUGGGCGUAAAGAGCGUGUAGGCGGCUAGAUAGGUCCGUUGUGAAAACUCGAGGCUCAACCUCGAGACGUCGAUGGAAACCAUCUGGCUAGAGUCCGGAAGAGGAGAAUGGAAUUCCUGGUGUAGCGGUGAAAUGCGCAGAUAUCAGGAAGAACACCCGUGGCGAAGGCGGUUCUCUGGGACGGUACUGACGCUGAGACGCGAAAGCGUGGGGAGCGAACAGG
rnacentral:rRNA from 1 species